UCCGAAUUGGUGUAGUGGCUAACAUUUGACGCUCUCAUAACUGAGGAGUGCCGUCAAGCCCGGGGUUCGAUUCCCCGAUUCGGAG